UUGACCUCGGAUCAGGUAGGAAUACCCGCUGAACUUAAGCAUAUCAAUAAGCGGAGGAAGAUCCACCCCCCCGCUUUGUAAAACCCC
rnacentral:rRNA from 1 species